GAAAGUAAGCAAGGGCAGACGGUGGAUGCCUUGGCUCUCGGAGGCGACGAAGGACGUGAUAAGCUGCGAAAAGCCCGGGGGAGGCGCAAAUAGCCGUUGAUCCCGGGAUAUCCGAAUGGGGCAACCCGGCAGGCUGAAGGCCUGUCAUCCCGAAAGGGAGGCGAACGUGGGGAACUGAAACAUCUAAGUACCCAUAGGAGGAGAAAAUAAACAAUGAUUCCGUAAGUAGUGGCGAGCGAACACGGAAGAGCCCAAACCCAUGUCGUCUAGGCGACACGGGGGUUGUAGGACCACGACGUGGCAAGAAGGAAGGGAAAUGGAACGCCUUGGAAAAGUCGGCCAUAGACGGUGAAAGCCCGGUACAUGACUCCCUUACGAAGCCUAGUGGUAUCCUGAGUAGCGCGGGGCACGAGAAAUCUUGCGUGAAUUAGCGGGGCCCAUCCCGUAAGGCUAAAUACUCCCGAGAGACCGAUAGCGAACCAGUACCGUGAGGGAAAGGUGAAAAGAACCCCGAGCAGGGGAGUGAAAUAGACCCUGAACCCGUCUGCCUACAAGCGGUCGGAGCGUCGUAAUGACGUGACGGCGUGCCUUUUGCAUAAUGAACCUACGAGUUACCUUCCCCGGCAAGGUUAAGUUCUUGAGGAACGGAGCCGAAGCGAAAGCGAGUCUGAACAGGGCGCCAAGUCGGGGGGGGUAGACGCGAAACCGAGUGAUCUACCCUUGGCCAGGUUGAAGGUUGGGUAACACCAACUGGAGGACCGGAUGGGUAAGCGUUGAAAAGCUUUCCAAUGAGCUGAGGGUAGGGGUGAAAGGCUAAUCAAACUCGGAGAUAGCUCGUACUCCCCGAAAUGCAUUUAGGUGCAGCCUCUUUAUAGUAUAUCGUGAGGUAGAGCGACUGAUUGGAUGCGAGGGCUUCACCGCCUAUCAAGUCCAGAUAAACUCCGAAUGCGCGAUAUAUAUUUACAGGGAGUGAGGGCGCGGGUGCUAAGGUCCGUGUCCGAGAGGAGAAGAAUCCAGACCACCGGCUAAGGCCCCCAAAUGAUCGUUAAGUUGAACUAACGAGGUCGGAUCGCAGAGACAGCUAGGAUGUUGGCUUGGAAGCAGCCAUUCAUUUAAAGAGUGCGUAACAGCUCACUAGUCGAGCGAUCUGGCGUGGAUAAUAAUCGGGCAUAAACGAUCUGCCGAAGCCGUGGAUGUCGCAAGACAUGGUAGGGGAGCAUUCCAUGCCGCGUCGAAGAUGAGGGAUGACCCUUGUUGGAGCGCAUGGAAAAGCAAAUGUAGGUAUGAGUAACGAUAAGGGGGGCGAGAAACCCCCCCGCCGAAAGACCAAGGUUUCCUGAUCAACGCUAAUCGGAUCAGGGUGAGUCGGGACCUAAGGCAAAGCCGAACGGCGCCGCCGAUGGAAGAAUGGGUUAAUAUUCCCAUACUGCCUCAUGGAGUGACGUGGAGACGGAGAAGUGACAGUCCUGCCGGCUGACGGAAUAGCCGGUUGAAGGGUGUAGAUAUUGAUUCCCGUAGGCAAAUCCGCGGGGAGAGUCGAACCUGAGAGUAUACGGAGCGCUUGCGCAACGUAAUAUGGACGUAACCAUGCUCCCGAGAAAAUCCGCUAAACUUAUCCAUGCGGCACCCGUACCGUAAACGGACACACGUGGUCGGGUUGAGAAUACUGAGGCGCUCGAGUGAUUCACGGUUAAGGAACUAGGCAAAUUGACCCUGUAACUUCGGGAUAAAGGGUCCUCGUCGUAAGGCGAGGCGCAGAGAAUAGGUCCAGGCAACUGUUUAACAAAAACACAUGGCUGUGCUAAAUGGAAACAUGAUGUAUACAGCCUGACACCUGCCCGGUGCCGGAAGGUUAAGAGGAGAUGUCAUCCGCGAGGAGAAGCGUUGAAUUGAAGCCCCGGUAAACGGCGGCCGUAACUAUAACGGUCCUAAGGUAGCGAAAUUCCUUGUCGGGUAAGUUC
rnacentral:rRNA from 1 species